UCUUCCGCAAUGGACGAAAGUCUGACGGAGCGAUGCCGCGUGAGUGAUGAAGGACUUCGGAUCGUAAAACUCUGUUGUUAGGGAAGAACAAGUAUCGGAGUAAUAUGCCGGUACCUUGACGUUACCUAACCAGAAAGCCCCGGCGACCUACGUCCCAGCAGCCGCGGUAAUACGUAGGGGGCAAGCGUUGUCCGGAAUAAUUGGGCGUAAAGGGAACGCAGGCGGUUAUUUAAGUCUGAUGUGAAAUCUUGUGGCUUAGACAAAAGCGGUCAUUGGAAACUGGAUAACUUGAGUACAGAAGAGGAGAGUGGAAUUCCACGUGUAGCGGUGAGAUGCGUAGAGAUGUGGAGGAACACCAGUGGCGAAGGCGGCUCUCUGGACUGUAACUGACGCUGAGGUGCGAAAGCGUAGGUAGCGAACA
rnacentral:rRNA from 1 species